ACUUCUGUCAUCAUAUUGGUCCACUGCCCUCUUACGAGUCUUGGGAUAUAUUCUUCGAAGAGUAUCUCGCAUUAAGAACUCCUAUAGGAUCUUGGUUUGAAAACGUCUUGCCAUGGUGGAGGAAAAGAAAUCAUCCAAACGUUCUUUUUCUCAAGUACGAGGACAUGAAAAGGGAUCUUCCAGGUGCAGUGAGACAGAUAGCAGAAUUCAUGGGAAAGUCCUUUUCAGAUGACGUCAUCGAAAAAAUCUCGG